rnacentral:rRNA from 1 species
AGUAACACGUGGGUGAUCUGCCUUGCACUCUGGGAUAAGCUUGGGAAACUGGGUCUAAUACCGGAUAGGAACCGUCUUUAGUGUGGUGGUUGGAAAGUUUUUUCGGUGCAAGAUGAGCUCGCGGCCUAUCAGCUUGUUGGUGGGGUAAUGGCCUACCAAGGCGUCGACGGGUAGCCGGCCUGAGAGGGUGUACGGCCACAUUGGGACUGAGAUACGGCCCAGACUCCUACGGGAGGCAGC